GGAGGGUAAGGGGUAGCAGAGUGUAGCGACGGUGGGAAGGGGAAGAGCGGAGGGAGGUUAUCGAGCGGCGGCCGGGAGGUGGAGGGGACGAGAGUGGAGCAUCGUGGCCAUCGACGGUCUAGGCGACUUAGGGGGUCGGUAGGUAGGGAGAGGUUGGGUACGGAUCCCAAAAAAGGAGGUAAUCUAACCAGGGAGGACGUGCGAGUAGAAAAGGCCCUAGGCAGCGUUGGAGCGGAGUGGAUGAGGGGGAGCGAGAGUCUAGUUGGUCUGGUCCGAGGAGGGCACCCUAGGUACCGCACCCAACGGGAUAACAUCGACUAAACACUACUCGCUCCGACCCUUCUCCACAAGGAAAACCACACGGCGUGCCAAGCGCAAGGUGCUGCAGGAACCGAUCUACAUACAGUGAAGAAGUCGUGCAUGUUUAAGUGUCCCAUCACUUCUAGUCUUCGACGUCGACAUGCUGGUGCCACCACCGUCGAUACCUUGGAACCUCCUCAACGAACUUCAGUAGUGCACCCGUGUUGAUCCUUAUUUCUACUACCUAAAACAUGAUGACAUAAAGACUUUUACGCACAUGUGUCUUAACGUUAGGCUUCCUCGUUACAAACUGUGAAUCAGACACAAUAACCUCUAACUACAAAAACCGUUCUUAAUGAACCCAGUCGACGGACCUUCACCACGACAUCACAACCUCAAGUUUAGUCGAUCAUCACGUAACAUCAGCACAAUGAACUUAAGAAUUUUUUACGAAUAUCACACAAGAUUUAUACGAACACUACAAAGCUAUAAUUCGAAACCAAAACCUGUAGUCUGAUCUAACAACCUUUAAACAUAACAGAAUACCUGUUUACGAUAAUAAACUUACUUAUAUUAAACCAACGGA
rnacentral:rRNA from 1 species